rnacentral:tRNA from 1 species
GUCUUGAAAUCCCGUAGGGACGAGACUGUAAAUCUUGAGGUCGCUGGUUCGAUCCCGGCUCGGGGGG